UAGUCAUAUGCUUGUCUCAAAGAUUAAGCCAUGCAUGUCUAAGUAUAAGCAAUUAUACAGUGAAACUGCGAAUGGCUCAUUAAAUCAGUUAUCGUUUAUUUGAUAGUACCUUUACUACUUGGAUAACCGUGGUAAUUCUAGAGCUAAUACAUGCUAAAAAUCCCGACUGUUUGGAAGGGAUGUAUUUAUUAGAUAAAAAACCAAUGCACUUCGGUGCUCUUUGGUGAUUCAUAAUAACUUCUCGAAUCGCAAGGCUUCAUGCUGGCGAUGGUUCAUUCAAAUUUCUGCCCUAUCAACUUUCGAUGGUAGGAUAGUGGCCUACCAUGGUUUCAACGGGUAACGGGGAAU
rnacentral:rRNA from 1 species